UUUUUGAUCUUGAUUCCUUUUUUGAAAAUACCAAGAUGAUGCUGAAAUAAGCAGUGAUUGAUUAAUAUUUUUUGCGCACAUUUUUGUGCAGAAACCAUUUGCUGGCCCCAGGCUUUCAAUGUCAUCAACAAGAUGUAGCAGGAGAUGUACUUUAGCCUUCUUUUGAAAUUCAGGCACAUGUAUUAUGUAUCUGGUGUUAUACCUCGCUCAACAAUUCCCAGACCAAGAGUUGUUCAAAUGGAAUGAUAUCUUGCAGAACAAAGACAGCAACUUGCAUCCACAAUUUGUAAUCUCUUCCAACAUAUGAGCCAUAGUUUCUUGUGAUGUUUCCCCUGAUUGUGGCUGAAAAUGCACUCAUGUCAAGUGCUUGAAUCUUUGCAUGGAGCUGGUUUUUCAAUUGCUGAGUUCUAGUGUUGGCAACAAGAAUUUUACUGUGGGUAAAUACGGUUUCAAAUUUCUAUGCUUCCCAAGUGAUGUUCGAAUUCUGAUGCCCGUGGAUUGUCCGCUAACACGCAUAAUACAGGUCACAGGCAAUGGAUUUCCCAAGUGCAACAGACGGAACUACGUUAGAUGUGCUAAUAAAGUGAAUGUUUUCGAUUUUUCGAAAUUCGUUU
rnacentral:lncRNA from 1 species